rnacentral:rRNA from 1 species
AAUAUUGUACAAUGGGCGGAAGCCUGAGGCAGCGUCGCCGUGUUGUGGAAGACGGUCUUUGGAUUGUAAACUCCUUUCUGUAGGGACGAAGCGAAAGGGACGGUAGCUGCAGAAUAAGCACCGGCCAACUACUUGCCAGCAGCCGCGGUAAUACGUAGGGUGCGAGCGUUGUCCGGAAUUACUGGGCGUAAAGAGCUCGUAGGCGGUUUGUAGAGUCGUCUGUGAAAUCCUCCAGCUUAACUGGGGGCGUGCCGGCGAUACGGGCAGACUUGAGUACUACAGGGGAGACUGGAAUUCCUAGUGUAGCGGUGAAAUGCGCAGAUAUCAGGAGAAACACCGGUGGCGAAGGCGGGUCUCUGGGUAGUAACUGACGCUGAGGAGCGAAAGCAUGGGGAGCAAACA